GAUGAAGAACGUAGCGAAAUGCGAUAAGUAAUGUGAAUUGCAGAAUUCAGUGAAUCAUCGAAUCUUUGAACGCACCUUGCGCUCCUUGGUAUUCCGAGGAGCAUGCCUGUUUGAGUGUCAUGAAAUUCUCAACCUUUUCAGCUUUCUUUGUUGAUCAGGCUUGGAUGUGGGAGUAUGCGGGCUUCUCAGAAGUCGGCUCUCCUGAAAUGCAUUAGCGGGACCUUUGUUGCCUGGCUUUGGUGUGAUAAUUAUCUACGCCAUUGUAGUCAAGCAGCUUAAAAUGAGGUUUCAGCUUCUAACCGUCUCCCCUGAGACAACUUUUUGACAAUUUGACCUCAAAUCAGGUAGGACUACCCGCUGAACUUAAGCAUAUCAAUAAGCCGGAGGA
rnacentral:misc_RNA from 1 species